ACGGCCUAGAAAUUUUAUUUAUCUUAUUAAUUAUUUUGGCCAUUUAUUAACUGGGAGUUUUAUGGUGUGAGUCCUAAUUAACAAUUUUCUUUUUUGCGCAAUAUAGUUACCAUGUGCGUUAUUAUUAGUUCGAGGGUACAAGUAUAAUUAUUUAUUUCAUUAGUUAGUCUAUAUUAGUUGGAUUUAUACGUAAUUAACUAAUUAGCUACAAUUUAGGGAUAUUGUGAGUUAGUGGGUAGUUUUACAAGUUACGCUUAAAGUAGAAAACCACAACAGACUAGGGUUAUAUCUCUUGAGAGAAUACAGAAGCGAGAACUUCUGAUUUUUCGAGAGAGGAAGCCGCAGACUUUUGGUGAUCGGCUGAUUGGCGAUUGGGUAAGCGACUGUUGAAACUUUAUUUUUGUUCUCUUUUUCUAUUCUCUGUUGUACAUGGUGAAGUUGAGUUUUGGAAUGUAUGGUUCGGUGGGUUAAUGAGAGGUACUGGAUUCCAUUCUUUUGGCAUUAUUAGUCUCUUUUAAUACUAUGAAUAUGGAAAUAUGGAUCAGUAGUGGAGAUGCGAUGUGUUAUGUGGGUGUGGAACCAAAUGUCAAGAAUGGUGCAUGGCGGUGCGUGGCAUGGGAAAUAUUGGCGGUCGUGUGGGUUAUGCACGUGGAUUGGAGGCAAGAGUUGGGUUUGUAGUCUUGGUGUUACUGUUGGGUAGUAAUUAGCAUUAGGCAAGUUUUAUUUUAUUAUGUUACUCGUACGUAGGCAGUAUCCCGUAUUUAUGUAGUGUAUAUUUGCAUAGCUAGUCAUUUCGUGCUUUGCUCUUUUAUUCAGGUUAGCUUUCUUUUUGGGUGUUCGAUUGCAUUACUUUUGGACACUUUUGGACCCAGGCAAGUUGGGGAGUUAGGCAAGGACUCUGGCGGCACCUCGGGGAUUCUUUUGUUUGACCUCCUUAGGGUGUCUCAUCUUAGUUUUAUUUUAAUAAAUUGCUUCCGCAUUCGAACAAUUGUCAAAUAAUGAAUUCUUUUUAUUAUUGUUGAAUUACUGGUUAUUGUUUAGUUCAUGGGAUGGUUGUACCCCAUGUUUAUGAUUGAGACACAUUUGGCUUUUGAUUUGAUUAAUAACGAAAAAGGGAUCAUUUGAUUUUCA